UACGUAGGGUGCAAACGUUGUUCGGAUUUACUGGGCGUAAAGCGCGUGUAGGCGGCUUGGCAAGUCGGAUGUGAAAGCCCACGGCUCAACCGUGGAAGCGCAUCCGAAACGGCCUCGCUCGAGUCUCGGAGAGGAAGGUGGAAUGCUUGGUGUAGAGGUGAAAUUCGUAGAUAUCAAGCAGAACACCUGCGGCGAAGGCGGCCUUCUGGACGAUGACUGACGCUGAGACGCGAAAGCGUGGGGAGCAAACAGG
rnacentral:rRNA from 1 species